rnacentral:rRNA from 1 species
GAGCGCAACCCUCGCCUUUAGUUGCCAUCAUUUAGUUGGGCACUCUAAAGGAACCGCCGGUGAUAAGCCGGAGGAAGGUGGGGAUGACGGUCAAGUCCUCAUGGCCCUUACGCUUGGGCUACACACGUGCUACAAUGGCAACUACAGUGGGCUGCAAGACCGCGAGGUUGAGCUAAUCUCCAAAAGUUGUCUCAGUUACGGAUUGCACUCUGCAACUCGAGUGCAUGAAGGCGGAAUCGCUAGUAAUCGCGGAUCAGCAUGCCGCGGUGAAUACGUUCCCAGGCCUU